rnacentral:rRNA from 1 species
GACGAACGCUGGCGGCGUGCCUAAUACAUGCAAGUAGAACGCUGAAGAGAGGAGCUUGCUCUUCUUGGAUGAGUUGCGAACGGGUGAGUAACGCGUAGGUAACCUGCCUUGUAGCGGGGGAUAACUAUUGGAAACGAUAGCUAAUACCGCAUAACAAUGGAUGACACAUGUCAUUUAUUUGAAAGGGGCAAUUGCUCCACUACAAGAUGGACCUGCGUUGUAUUAGCUAGUAGGUGAGGUAACGGCUCACCUAGGCGACGAUACAUAGCCGACCUGAGAGGGUGAUCGGCCACACUGGGACUGAGACACGGCCCAGACUCCUACGGGAGGCAGCAGUAGGGAAUCUUCGGCAAUGGGGGCAACCCUGACCGAGCAACGCCGCGUGAGUGAAGAAGGUUUUCGGAUCGUAAAGCUCUGUUGUAAGUCAAGAACGAGUGUGAGAGUGGAAAGUUCACACUGUGACGGUAGCCUACCAGAAAGGGACGGCUAACUACGUGCCAGCAGCCGCGGUAAUACGUAGGUCCCGAGCGUUGUCCGGAUUUAUUGGGCGUAAAGCGAGCGCAGGCGGUUUGAUAAGUCUGAAGUUAAAGGCUGUGGCUCAACCAUAGUUCGCUUUGGAAACUGUCAAACUUGAGUGCAGAAGGGGAGAGUGGAAUUCCAUGUGUAGCGGUGAAAUGCGUAGAUAUAUGGAGGAACACCGGUGGCGAAAGCGGCUCUCUGGUCUGUAACUGACGCUGAGGCUCGAAAGCGUGGGGAGCGAACAGGAUUAGAUACCCUGGUAGUCCACGCCGUAAACGAUGAGUGCUAGGUGUUGGAUCCUUUCCGGGAUUCAGUGCCGCAGCUAACGCAUUAAGCACUCCGCCUGGGGAGUACGACCGCAAGGUUGAAACUCAAAGGAAUUGACGGGGGCCCGCACAAGCGGUGGAGCAUGUGGUUUAAUUCGAAGCAACGCGAAGAACCUUACCAGGUCUUGACAUCCCGAUGCUAUUUCUAGAGAUAGAAAGUUACUUCGGUACAUCGGUGACAGGUGGUGCAUGGUUGUCGUCAGCUCGUGUCGUGAGAUGUUGGGUUAAGUCCCGCAACGAGCGCAACCCCUAUUGUUAGUUGCCAUCAUUCAGUUGGGCACUCUAGCGAGACUGCCGGUAAUAAACCGGAGGAAGGUGGGGAUGACGUCAAAUCAUCAUGCCCCUUAUGACCUGGGCUACACACGUGCUACAAUGGUUGGUACAACGAGUUGCGAGUCGGUGACGGCAAGCUAAUCUCUUAAAGCCAAUCUCAGUUCGGAUUGUAGGCUGCAACUCGCCUACAUGAAGUCGGAAUCGCUAGUAAUCGCGGAUCAGCACGCCGCGGUGAAUACGUUCCCGGGCCU